rnacentral:rRNA from 1 species
GAGUUUGAUCAUGGCUCAGGAUGAACGCUAGCGGGAGGCCUAACACAUGCAAGCCGAGCGGUAUUGUUUCUUCGGAAAUGAGAGAGCGGCGUACGGGUGCGGAACACGUGUGCAACCUGCCUUUAUCUGGGGGGAUAGCCUUUCGAAAGGAAGAUUAAUACUCCAUAACAUAUUUAACGGCAUCGUUUGAUAUUGAAAGCUCCGGCGGAUAGAGAUGGGCACGCGCAAGAUUAGCUAGUUGGUGAGGUAACGGCUCACCAAGGCGAUGAUCUUUAGGGGGCCUGAGAGGGUGAUCCCCACACUGGUACUGAGACACGGACCAGACUCCUACGGGAGGCAGCAGUGAGGAAUAUUGGUCAAUGGGUGCAAGCCUGAACCAGCCAUCCCGCGUGAAGGACGACUG